AUUGAACGCUGGCGGCAUGCUUUACACAUGCAAGUCGAACGGUAACAGGCCUUCGGGUGCUGACGAGUGGCGAACGGGUGAGUAAUGCAUCGGAACGUGCCCAAUCGUGGGGGAUAACGUAGCGAAAGCUACGCUAAUACCGCAUACGAUCUAUGGAUGAAAGCGGGGGACCGUAAGGCCUCGCGCGAUUGGAGCGGCCGAUGGCAGAUUAGGUAGUUGGUGGGGGUAAAGGCUCACCAAGCCUGCGAUCUGUAGCUGGUCUGAGAGGACGACCAGCCACACUGGAACUGAGACACGGUCCAGACUCCUACGGGAGGCAGCAGUGGGGAAUAUUGGACAAUGGGCGCAAGCCUGAUCCAGCAAUGCCGCGUGUGUGAAGAAGGCCUGCGGGUUGUAAAGCACUUUCAGUGGGGAAGAACAGAUUCGGGUCAAUACCCCGGAGCCCUGACGUUACCCACAGAAGAAGCACCGGCUAACUCCGUGCCAGCA
rnacentral:rRNA from 1 species